UACAGAGGUCUCAAGCGUUGUUCGGAUUCAUUGGGCGUAAAGGGUGCGUAGGUGGCGCGCUAAGUCGGGUGUGAAAUCUCGGAGCUUAACUCCGAAACUGCAUUCGAUACUGCCGUGCUUGAGGACUGGAGAGGAGACUGGAAUUUACGGUGUAGCGGUGAAAUGCGUAGAUAUCGUAAGGAAGACCAGUGGCGAAGGCGGG
rnacentral:rRNA from 1 species